rnacentral:rRNA from 1 species
AGGUAAGCUACUAAGAGCGAAUGGUGGAUGCCUUGACUGGUAAAGGCGAUGAAGGACGUACUAGACUGCGAUAAGCUACGGGGAGCUGUCAAGAAGCUUUGAUCCGUAGAUUUCCGAAUGGGGCAACCCAAUGUAUAGAGAUAUACAUUACCUAUAUAGGAGCGAACGAGGGGAAUUGAAACAUCUUAGUACCCUCAGGAAAAGAAAUCAAUAGAGAUUGCGUCAGUAGCGGCGAGCGAAAGCGCAAGAGGGCAAACCCAGUGCUUGCACUGGGGGUUGUAGGACUGCAAUGUGCAAGAGGUGAGUUUAGCAGAACAUUCUGGAAAGUAUAGCCAUAGAGGGUGAUAGUCCCGUAUGCGAAAAACAAACCUUAGCUAGCAGUAUCCUGAGUAGGGCGGGACACGAGAAAUCCUGUCUGAAGCUGGGUCGACCACGAUCCAACCCUAAAUACUAAUACCAGAUCGAUAGUGCACAAGUACCGUGAGGGAAAGGUGAAAAGAACUGAGGUGAUCAGAGUGAAAUAGAACCUGAAACCAUUUGCUUACAAUCAUUCAGAGCCCUAUGUAGCAAUACAGGGUGAUGGACUGCCUUUUGCAUAAUGAGCCUGCGAGUUGUGGUGUCUGGCAAGGUUAAGCAAACGCGAAGCCGUAGCGAAAGCGAGUCUGAAUAGGGCGCUUAGUCAGAUGCUGCAGACCCGAAACGAAGUGAUCUAUCCAUGAGCAAGUUGAAGCUAGUGUAAGAACUAGUGGAGGACUGAACCCAUAGGCGUUGAAAAGCCCCGGGAUGACUUGUGGAUAGGGGUGAAAGGCCAAUCAAACUUCGUGAUAGCUGGUUCUCUCCGAAAUAUAUUUAGGUAUAGCGUUGUGUCGUAAUAUAAGGGGGUAGAGCACUGAAUGGGCUAGGGCAUACACCAAUGUACCAAACCCUAUCAAACUCCGAAUACCUUAUAUGUAAUCACAGCAGUCAGGCGGCGAGUGAUAAAAUCCGUCGUCAAGAGGGAAACAACCCAGACUACCAGCUAAGGUCCCUAAAUCUUACUUAAGUGGAAAACGAUGUGAAGUUACUUAAACAACCAGGAGGUUGGCUUAGAAGCAGCCAUCCUUUAAAGAAAGCGUAAUAGCUCACUGGUCUAGUGAUUUUGCGCGGAAAAUAUAACGGGGCUAAAGUAAGUACCGAAGCUGUAGACUUAGUUUACUAAGUGGUAGGAGAGCGUUCUAUUUGCGUCGAAGGUAUACCGGUAAGGAGUGCUGGAGCGAAUAGAAGUGAGCAUGCAGGCAUGAGUAGCGAUAAUUAAUGUGAGAAUCAUUAACGCCGUAAACCCAAGGUUUCCUACGCGAUGCUCGUCAUCGUAGGGUUAGUCGGGUCCUAAGUCGAGUCCGAAAGGGGUAGACGAUGGCAAAUUGGUUAAU